rnacentral:tRNA from 1 species
GCCCCCGUGGCGAAACUGGUAAACGCGCUCGAUUUGGCAUCGAGUGGUCCGGCGACCUUGCGGGUUCAAGUCCCGCCGGGGGCACCA